AAAGAAGCACCGGCUAACUAUGUGCCACCACCCGCGGUAAUACAUAGGGUGCAAGCGUUGUCCGGAAUUAUUGGGCGUAAAGAGCUCGUACGUCGUUUGUUACGUCGGAUGUGAAAACCUGAGGCUCAACCUCAGGCCUGCAUUCGAUACGGGCAAACUGCAGUUUGGUAGGGGAGACUGGAAUUCCUGGUGUAGCGGUGGAAUGCGCAGAUAUCAGGAGGAACACCAAUGGCGAAGGCAGGUCUCUGGGCCAAUACUGACACUGAGGAGCGAAAGUCUGGGGAGCGAACAGGAUUAGAUACCCUGGUACUCCAGACCGUAAACGGUGGGCACUAGUUGUGGGAACCUUCCACGGUUUCUGCGACGCAGCUAACGCAUUAAGUGCCCCGCCUGGGGAGUACGAUCGCAAGAUUAAAACUC
rnacentral:rRNA from 1 species